GCACUGCAGCUUUGUUUACGAAGAUGAACGUCAGUCAGCGCUGAGAUGCUGGUCAGUGCUGUAGCACUCGCCUAGCAUACACAAGUCCUGAGUUCACUCCGCAGUAAGGCAAAAAAGCUGGCCUUGGGCUCACUUUGUAGUCCAGUCUGGUUUUGAACACGCAACAAUCCUGCCUCAGCCUACUGAGUUCUGGGAUUACAGGGUCUCAAUAUGUAGUUUGGGCUGACCUUGAACUCACUUUGUAGCCUGGCUGGCCUCAGACUGACAGCGGUGCUCCUGCCUCAGCCCCUUCCCUGGGUGUGCACCACCACACCGGACCUCUCGGGAAAUCUUGUUGUUGAGACUUACUAGGACGACAGUAGCACUCGACCAAGGUAAGAAGUCAGCAGGAGCUAACAAGAAGAAAAGUGGCCGUGCAGAACCUGUCUGGGGGCAGACACACAGACAAUUAACUUGAUGAAAAGCCAGCAUAGACUCUGAAACAUAAUUCAUCUUUUCAACCAGGAAACUUUCAAACUUUUCCUUUUCAAAAUUGGGAAUGAGAGAAGAGGACCACAAAGAAAACCUUUCCAUUUGGCCUAGGGUUGCAUCUCAGUGGCAAAGCAUUUACUUGGAAUGUGCACGAGCCUGGAUUCAAUUUCCAGCGCUCACAGCAAAAGGAAACAAAAACUUUCUGUCUAAACAGCACAAGUUAAUGAGAUUUAUAACAACAAAAAUCUGUCUUACUAAUUAAUGUAGUUUCCUUUAGAAUGGAAGAAAAGUAAGUUACCAAAAGUGCAAAAGCUACAUGAUUUAGCAGACUUCAAUAUCUUUAGAUAACUUGUUGAAACACCAUCACAAGAGUUGUGUUCCCAGAUUAACUUAUUUUGGUAUACCACGUAGGCAUACCCACAAGCAUUUGUAAAAGACUAGCAUACCACUGAGCAUGGUGGCACACACUUGCAAUCCCAGCACUCAAGAAACAGGAUGAGGACCGCCGGGCGCUCAGGCCAGCCUGGACUACACAGUAAGAACCUGUCUAAAAAAAAAAAAAAGACUCAGGUACCAUCAUUUGAUACCUAACGUAGAAUCAGCUUUAACUUCAAUUGCCUCUGACCUUACUCUGACUCAGAGUGCUUUAUUAGAAUUUACUGGAAUUUUGUGACUAUAAUUAUAUAACUAAAAAAAAUGUUAACUUCUAUUUCUUUUAUUUUUAUUUUGAAGGUAGUAAAACACAACAGAACAAGACAGAACAAAGCCAAGUGAGACAGUGCAGUGAAAUUGGUACAGAACUUCAGAGCAAGACACAGGGAUAUCAGUAAUAGGUACCAUGGUAUAUCUUGUUAUCUUUACAAUAGUUGUUCUUUCAAUCAGGUAUAGCAAAAUCAAAUGAAAUACAGAACAUAAUAGAACUUAUCAAAACAGAAAAUUGAAUAGGGCAGUACAAUUAAUCAGAACAAAGCAAAACAGUGCUAGCAAUAUUUGCCUUCAAAGAGAUGGUAGAAGGAAAUCCCCCUUAUUUGCCAUAUUGCAUAUAGUCAGCCUCCCAAGAGAUGCUCAGAACUCUGGCUCUCAUUUGCUAACGGGGGUGGGGGGUGGAUGGGAUGUUAGAUUCUCAGCUCACAUGCCAGUAGGCUCAGGCUGCUUACCAGGGAGGCAAGCAGGUUGCUUCCUUUCCCAGCGCCCUAAGUUCCAACAUGGCAUGGAUCUCUGGAGACGCUGGCUGGUUCUCCGCUGGGGCGGCCACUGCUUGCCCGAUCCAUGGCUGCUUACCAGGGAGGCAAGCAGGUUGCUCUAAUUCCUAUUUCUUAAGUUGAAAUAUUUAAGAGAAAUGCUGUAAAGGAUGAUUGCUGUUAUGGUAAACAUGUAGAGAUUAUUUCAAAGAUGGUUUUGAAAUUUCUACUACAUAGUAAAGCACACUUAAUUUUAAAGUGCAAUACAAUAGUUUUCAAAGUGAGUUUUUCUUCUUACUAGUAUGUAUGUAUGAAUGUACACACACAUUAAAUUUAUUAUUGUUUCUGGUGGAAUAUCACCUUGACUUUUUUCUAGAAUUAUGAAAUGACUUGGAGUUAUGAAAGUUAGAAUACAUUCCUGGAAUUUCAUUUUUAAAAGCUACCCCUUGCUGUCAUCAUGAACUGCAUACUACAAAGCCAAUGAAAAUUAAUGUUUACAAAGACAAUAAAAUAGCCAGGUGUGGUGGUGUAUGCCUGUAAUCUCAGCAUGGGGGAGGCUAAGGCAGGGGGAUCAUUGUGAGUUCAAGACCAGGCCGGGAUGCAAAGUGAGCUCAAAGCCAGCUUGAACUGCAUUGCAAGACCUUGUCUCAAAAAAAUAUAAUAAAAUAACUUCAUAUA